GAUGAACGCUGGCGGCGUGCCUAAUACAUGCAAGUCGAGCGAACGGACGAGAAGCUUGCUUUUCUGAUGUUAGCGGCGGACGGGUGAGUAACACGUGGAUAACCUACCUAUAAGACUGGGAUAACUUCGGGAAACCGGAGCUAAUACCGGAUAAUAUUUUGAACCGCAUGGUUCAAAAGUGAAAGACGGUCUUGCUGUCACUUAUAGAUGGAUCCGCGCUGCAUUAGCUAGUUGGUAAGGUAACGGCUUACCAAGGCAACGAUGCAUAGCCGACCUGAGAGGGGGAUCGGCCACCCUGGAACGGAAACCCGGUCCCACCUCCUAGGGGAGGCAGCAGUGGGGAAUCUUCCGAAAGGGGGGAAAGCCUGACGGAGCAACCCGGGGUGAGGGAAGAAGGUUUUCGGAUCGAAAAACUCUUUUAUUAGGGAAAAAAAUAUGUGUAAGUCACUGUGCCCAUCUGGAGGGUACCUAAUAAGAAAGCCCCGGCUAACUACGG
rnacentral:rRNA from 1 species